GUCAACCACCCAUCACUUCCCUUUGGGUAAGUGAGGGCUUGUAAAAGCCUAGUUGACCAGACUCACUUCUUAACCAAACUACCUUAGAGGUAAGAGUUAAACAGGCUUAAGGGUUAAACCAGUGCUUUUAAGAUAGUUACAGACCUCUAACAUUGUCAAAGCUAACAUUACCCCAGAAAUGGG
rnacentral:sRNA from 1 species